rnacentral:rRNA from 1 species
UACGUAGGGGGCAAGCGUUGUCCGGAAUCAUUGGGCGUAAAGCGCGUGUAGGCGGCCCGAUAAGUCCGCUGUGAAAGUCCAGGGCUCAACCCUGGGAUGCCGGUGGAUACUGUCGGACUAGAGUACGGAAGAGGCGAGUGGAAUUCCCGGUGUAGCGGUGAAAUGCGCAGAUAUCGGGAGGAACACCAAUUGCGAAGGCAGCUCGCUGGGACGUCACUGACGCUGAGACGCGAAAAGCGUGGGGAGCAAACAGG